rnacentral:rRNA from 1 species
GCGAACGCUGGCGGCAGGCUUAACACAUGCAAGUCGAACGGCCGUAGCAAUACGGCAGUGGCAGACGGGUGAGUAACACGUGGGAAUGUACCUUUCGGUUCGGAAUAACUCAGGGAAACUUGAGCUAAAACCGGAUACGCCCUUACGGGGAAAGAUUUAUCGCCGAAAGAUCAGCCCGCGUCCGAUUAGCUAGUUGGUGAGGUAAUGGCUCACCAAGGCGACGAUCGGUAGCUGGUCUGAGAGGAUGAUCAGCCACACUGGGACUGAGACACGGCCCAGACUCCUACGGGAGGCAGCAGUGGGGAAUAUUGGACAAUGGGCGCAAGCCUGAUCCAGCCAUGCCGCGUGGGUGAUGAAGGCCCUAGGGUUGUAAAGCCCUUUCGGCGGGGAAGAUAAUGACGGUACCCGCAGAAGAAGCCCCGGCUAACUUCGU